rnacentral:rRNA from 1 species
UGCAGUCGAGCGGACAGAUGGGAGCUUGCUCCCUGAUGUUAGCGGCGGACGGGUGAGUAACACGUGGGUAACCUGCCUGUAAGACUGGGAUAACUCCGGGAAACCGGGGCUAAUACCGGAUGCUUGUUUGAACCGCAUGGUUCAAACAUAAAAGGUGGCUUCGGCUACCACUUACAGAUGGACCCGCGGCGCAUUAGCUAGUUGGUGAGGUAAUGGCUCACCAAGGCGACGAUGCGUAGCCAACCUGAGAGGGUGAUCGGCCACACUGGGACUGAGACACGGCCCAGACUCCUACGGGAGGCAGCAGUAGGGAAUCUUCCGCAAUGGACGAAAGUCUGACGGAGCAACGCCGCGUGAGUGAUGAAGGUUUUCGGAUCGUAAAGCUCUGUUGUUAGGGAAGAACAAGUACCGUUCGAAUAGGGCGGUACCUUGACGGUACCUAACCAGAAAGCCACGGCUAACUACGUGCCAGCAGCCGCGGUAAUACGUAGGUGGCAAGCGUUGUCCGGAAUUAUUGGGCGUAAAGGGCUCGCAGGCGGUUUCUUAAGUCUGAUGUGAAAGCCCCCGGCUCAACCGGGGAGGGUCAUUGGAAACUGGGGAACUUGAGUGCAGAAGAGGAGAGUGGAAUUCCACGUGUAGCGGUGAAAUGCGUAGAGAUGUGGAGGAACACCAGUGGCGAAGGCGACUCUCUGGUCUGUAACUGACGCUGAGGAGCGAAAGCGUGGGGAGCGAACAGGAUUAGAUACCCUGGUAGUCCACGCCGUAAACGAUGAGUGCUAAGUGUUAAGGGGGUUUCCGCCCCUUAGUGCUGCAGCUAACGCAUUAAGCACUCCGCCUGGGGGAGUACGGUCGCAAGACUGAAACUCAAAGGAAUUGACGGGGGCCCGCACAAGCGGUGGAACAUGUGGUUUAAUUCGAAGCAACGCGAAGAACCUUACCAGGUCUUGACAUCCUCUGACAAUCCUAGAGAUAGGACGUCCCCUUCGGGGGCAGAGUGACAGGUGGUGCAUGGUUGUCGUCAGCUCGUGUCGUGAGAUGUUGGGGUUAAGUCCCGCAACGAGCGCAACCCUUGAUCUUAGUUGCCAGCAUUCAGUUGGGCACUCUAAGGUGACUG